CCUACGGGUGGCAGCAGUCGAGAAUCAUUCACAAUGGGGGAAACCCUGAUGGGGCGACGCCGCGUGGGGGAAUGAAGGUCUGCGGAUGGUAAACCCCUGUCAUGGGGGAGAAAAGUAAAAAGAGAGAACCACAAGAGGAAGAGACGGCGAACGCAGAGCCAGCAGCCGCGGUAAGACAGAGGUCUCAAGCGUUGUUCGGAACCACUGGGCGUAAAGGGUGCGGAGGCGGUUUCGUACGUCGUGUGUGAAAGGCGCGGGCUCAACCCGCGGACGGCCCAUGAGACUGCGAGACUAGAGUACUGGAGGGGGAACCGGAAUUCUCGGUGUAGCAGUGAAAUGCGUAGAUAUCGCGAGGAACACUCGUGGCGACGGCGGGUUCCUGGACAUUACCUGACGCUGAGGCACGAAGGCCCGGGGAGCGAACUGGAUUAGAUACCCGGGUAGUC
rnacentral:rRNA from 1 species